rnacentral:rRNA from 1 species
UAGGGAAUCUUCCACAAUGGACGCAAGUCUGAUGGAGCAACGCCGCGUGAGUGAAGAAGGUUUUCGGACCGUAAAGCUCUGUUGUUGGUGAAGAAGGAUAGAGGUAGUAACUGGCCUUUAUUUGACGGUAAUCAACCAGAAAGUCACGGCUAACUACGUGCCAGCAGCCGCGGUAAUACGUAGGUGGCAAGCGUUGUCCGGAUUUAUUGGGCGUAAAAGCGAGCGCAGGCGGAAGAAUAAGUCUGAUGUGAAAGCCCUCGGCUUAACCGAGGAAUUGCAUC